GAUGAAGAACGUAGCGAAAUGCGAUAAGUAGUGUGAAUUGCAGAAUUCAGUGAAUCAUCGAAUCUUUGAACGCAUAUUGCGCUCUCUGGUAUUCCGGAGAGCAUGCUUGUUUGAGUAUCAGUAAACACCUCAACUUCCAUAUCUUUUUUGAAAUGGGAGUUGGACUUGAGUGAUCCCAACGCUUUUCCUCACCGAAAAGUGGCGGGUUACUUGAAAUGCAGGUGCAGCUGGACUUUUCUCUGAGCUAUAAGCAUAUCUAUUUAGUCUGCCUAAAAACAGAUUAUUACCUUUGCUGCAGCUAACAUAAAGGAGAUUAGUUCUUGUGCUGACUGAUGCAGGAUUCACAAAGACAGGCUUCGGCCGACUUUGUAAACUCGAUCUCAAAUCAAGUAAGACUACCCGCUGAACUUAAGCAUAUCAAUAAGCGGAGGA
rnacentral:misc_RNA from 1 species